UCCUGGGUAGCUCAGCUGGUAAAGAAUCCACUUGCAAUGUGAGAGACCUGGGUUCAAUCCCUGGCUUGGGAA
rnacentral:tRNA from 1 species